rnacentral:rRNA from 1 species
ACGUAGGAGGCGAGCGUUAUCCGGAUUUACUGGGUGUAAAGCGCGUGCAGGCGGUUUGUUAAGUUGGAUGUGAAAGCUCCUGGCUCAACUGGGAGAGGUCGUUCAAGACUGGCAGACUUGAGAGCAGUAGGGGAAGGUGGAAUUCCGGGUGUAGUGGUGAAAUGCGUAGAUAUCCGGAGGAACACCAGUGGCGAAAGCGGCCUUCUGGACUGCAUCUGACGCUCAGACGCGAAAGCUAGGGGAGCAAACGGGAUUAGAGACCCCGGUAGUCCUAGCCGUAAACGAUGUGAACUUGGCGCUGGACGGGUAAAACCGAUCAGUGUCGAAGCAAACGCGAUAAGUUCACCACCUGGGGACUACGGCCGCAAGGUUA